rnacentral:rRNA from 1 species
CAGGAUGAACGCUAGCGGCAGGCUUAACACAUGCAAGUCGAGGGGCAACGCGAGUAGCAAUACUUGGCGGCGACCGGCGCAAGGGUGCGUAACGCGUGAGCAACAUGCCCGUAUCAGGGGGAUAAUCCAGGGAAACUUGGUCUAAUACCCCAUAGUAAUUUUGUAAGGCAUCUUAUAAGAUUUAAAGCUUUUGGUGGAUACGGAUUGGCUCGCGUGACAUUAGCUGGAUGGUAAGGUAACGGCUUACCAUGGCUAUGAUGUCUAGGGGUUCUGAGAGGAAGGUCCCCCACACUGGAACUGAGACACGGUCCAGACUCCUACGGGAGGCAGCAGUGAGGAAUAUUGGACAAUGGAUGGAAAUCUGAUCCAGCCAUGCCGCCGUGAAGGAAGAAGGUCCUAUGGGUUGUAAACUUCUUUUGUAUGGGAGCAAUAAGGCCUACGAGUAGGUUGAUGAGAGUACCAUACGAAUAAGCACCGGCUAACUCCGUGCCAGCCGCCGC